CACCCUGGUGACAGCUGGGGCGGCAGCGUAGGUGACAGCUGGAGCGGACUGCACCACCCUGGUGACAGCUGGGGCAGUGUAGGUGGCGACGGCUGGGGCGGCGUGGACAGCAGUCACGGCUGGAGCGGCGUGGACAGCAGUCACAGCUGGAGCAGCGUGGUAGGUGGAAACAGAGUGGGCAACAGCUGGAGCAGCGACGGCGUAACUGGCGGCGGGGGCGUAUCCGUAUCCGUAGCCAGCACCAUAGCCGGUCAGGCCGGAGUAUCCAACUCCGUGGGACAGGCCGUAAUGGGAGAGACCAAGGCCACCGUAGCCGAGACCGGAAUAGCCUAGGCUGCCGUAGCCAAGGCCGUAGCCGAGGUUGCUGGCGAGGGUGUAGCCACCGACAGCGUGACCAACGUGACCAGCGAAGGCGCUGGCGGCCAAGGCGAGGACGAUGCAGGCACGCAGCUGCAGAAGUAAAGGAGAUGAC